AUACGGAGGGUGCAAGCGUUAAUCGGAAUUACUGGGCGUAAAGCGUGCGUAGGUGGUUUGUUAAGUUAGAUGUGAAAGCCCUGGGCUCAACCUAGGAACUGCAUUUAAAACUGGCAAACUAGAGUAUAGGAGAGGAAAGUGGAAUUUCAGGUGUAGCGGUGAAAUGCGUAGAUAUCUGAAGGAACAUCAAUGGCGAAGGCAGCUUUCUGGACUAAUACUGACACUGAGGUACGAAAGCGUGGGUAGCAAACAGGAUUAGAUACCCUGGUAGUCCACGCCGUAAACGAUGACAACUAGCCGUUGGGAGGGUUUACCUCUUAGUGGCGAAGCUAACGCGUUAAGUUGUCCGCCUGGGGAGUACGGCCGCAAGGUUAAAACUCAAAGGAAUUGACGGGGACCCGCACAAGCGGUGGAGCAUGUGGUUUAAUUCGAUGCAACGCGAAGAACCUUACCUGGUCUUGACAUACACGGAACUUUCCAGAGAUGGAUUGGUGCCUUCGGGAACCGUGAUACAGGUGCUGCAUGGCUGUCGUCAGCUCGUGUCGUGAGAUGUUGGGUUAAGUCCCGUAACGAGCGCAACCCUUAUCCUUAUUUGCCAGCACAUCAUGGUGGGAACUAUAAGGAGACUGCCGGUGAUAAACCGGAGGAAGGCGGGGACGACGUCAAGUCAUCAUGGCUCUUACGACCAGGGCUACACACGUGCUACAAUGGGAAGGACAAAGGGUUGCUAAGCCGCGAGGUGGUG
rnacentral:rRNA from 1 species